UGAUGUCUGUGCAGGUAUCUCAGUGGCUUCUUAUGAUGGACAGGCAGCAGUGGAAGGCUGGAAAUCACUAUUAUGGCAGAAAAGAUGUUUACCGCUUUUAGCUGAAGAAAAUGCACAGAGGAGCCUCAGAGAUGUUCCAUUGAAAUCGGACAUACUUGUAGAGAGGCAGCGAGCUGCAAUGGUUAAGUGAUGGGAUGGUAUAAAGCAUUGUAAAGAUUUUUUUCUUCUUCUUAAUUAUACCACGUACCAUUAUACCAAGUUAAUGAGAGUCUGAAACUGCAUAUGGUAACUUUCCUGGACUGACAUGUUGAAUACAUUAAGUGUUCAUCCCUUCAUGUUCACCUCCUGCUUUUUAUGAUAGCAUAAGCAUGCCAAAGGUGGUCAUCUUAAGACACCGGGGUCUAAACAUUAACAUAUGAGCCUCACUAUUAACAAUCACCUGGAUCUAAAUGCAUCAUCAGCCGAUUAAUAAACUCAUUCUCAGACCAUCAAA